rnacentral:misc_RNA from 1 species
GUUGCAUCUCUAAUUUUUAUUUUUCUUGUAUUAAAUAAUAAUGAAAUAAAAUACAAUAAUACUAAUAAAUUAAAAAUAGAGUAAGUCAAAUAUGCACAGACCACGCUGUAUAUCGAAAGUCAGUAGAAUAAUCAUACAAGAAGCAACAAAGAAAGCUAGAUAGCCAGCUAGCAUUGCAAAAGAAGACACAGCCAAACAAUCAUCUCUCAUAGAUUGACUUGAGAGAUGAUAAGCACCGAUCCUUCUGCAGCAUUAUUAAACCACACUGUAGGCGUCGACUUAUAGUCGCAUCGCCUUUAUUUUCACAAUCUUUGAUGGAAAUAUCAUGUCCCACACCAUUUGUUUUUUUUUAACGCAAACCAUUAAUGACUAUAAUUGCACAUUAAAUAGUAUAUAGAGGCAUUCUUCUAGCGACGGAAGCUUCUGACUGGGCGGGGUGGAUCCGCUUCGUCCUCUCGGAGCUUCACAAGAGUGUAAGUACCUGCACCAGCGAGAGCCCCAAGUGUGGGAGCCACCAAGUAUAUCCACAAGUCCCUGUAAUUUCCUGCGGCCACCGCCGGCCCCAGAGUCCUCACCGGAUUCAUUGAACCACCGCUUGAUGGCCUGCCAUGAAGUAAGUUGGUAACUUGCAAUUAUUAGUACCUUUCUUAUGGAAUCUUCAUUGGUCGCACCUUUCAGGAGACAUAAUCACUCUGGCAAGACCGCCUUGUCAUGUUUUCAUACAUUACCAAACUAGCUAUUCUGCAAUGACUAGACUACUAUAUUGGUUUCUUGAGCUCUCUCAACCACACUAUUUGAUUAGAUAAGCCAAUGGUAUUCUUCCAACUGGUCAUCUCCAAUUAUUGAGGUUAGUUGAGUUAAAAUACUCAAAUUUAUUGAAAAAUAUACUUUUUGAAAAAAAUACACUAAUUUUUUUUUUCUUUUAAAAAAUUUACUUUUAAAUUAUAAAAAUAAUAAUACUCAUAAUAUAAAUUAAAGAUAAUAAAUUAAAAAUUAAAUUAAUAAAUUAUAUUGAAUUUAACCAGAAAAUGAUAAAUUACCAAAUCUCCCAUAAACAAGUUAUUUCCCUCCCUAAAAAGAGUAACACAACUUAUUUCUGAAAAAAUUUGAUAAUGUAAAUUAGAUAAGGAAAUAUUUUUAUACUUUUUCUAAAAGUAAUAUAUAUGUGUAUGUAUAUAUAUGUAUAGUUUACUUCCUCUAACUAAACAAAACAAGUCCUAAAUAGUUGAAAGUGAUUGAUUUCUGUUUUAAUUCUACAUUUCCUUUCUAUUCACGAUUACUCUUGCAAUAAAGAAGUGUUGGGUACAUGAAAAAAAGAAGGGAAAAAAAAUGGAGGGAGCGGGGCAAGAAUUAUUACUUACCCUGCAACAAGAAUGUUGAGCAUAACAGUUGCUCCAACAGCUAUUCCAGCCAACUCUCCUACAGCUCUGGUAUCAGUUGCAACGGCAGUUACAACGAACAAGAGAUUGAAAGUAAUGAGAAACUCAAGUGCGAAAGCCUGGCCAGUGCUUACAGAGGGAACAGUAACGCCACCAGACAUGAAUGGAUGGAAGACUCCUUUGAGAGCGAAAGAUGCACAUAUGGAAGCAGAUACUUGGGCAGCUAUGUAGGCCGGGACUUGCAUCCAGGGAAAGUGACGGAGAGCUGCAAAGGCAAUGGUCAAGGAUGGGUUCAAGUGAGCCCCUGAUAUGUGUCCAGUUGAUAGAAUUAUUAUCAUCACUGCUAACCCUGCGCAUGCUGCAUUUCCAAUCAAUGACUCCACUCCAUUGUGCUUUUGAUUCACUAUUGGUCCUGCUGUUGCUGCAAAUAUGAGGAUGAAGGUUCCCACGAAUUCUGCUCCAAGCUUGCGGGUAAGAGAGACAUCCGGGGAAGGGAAAUCAGUGAAGCACGUGUGGGAUUGACCCCAGGUUGGAGCAUUAACUGGCAAGCACUUGCAUCUUGGCAUUGACUUUCGAUCAUAAGACAAUGAGUCUACCCUCAGCGACGAAAACAGCGGCCCUCCCGGCGUUCCAGGCGUCGCCGGCGCUGACACUGUUGGUGUCCCUGCCUCGGAUUCCGGCAUUUGCUUUUAUAUAUAUAUAUAUAUACACUUCAAUAUCGAAUAUCAAUGGAACGGAAGGUAUAUAUAUAUAUAUUUUUUAAAUUUUAGAUGAUAGCUAGGAUUGGGACGAUUUUACAUGAUUUGACUCUUUUUUUUUUAACGGUUUACCAACACGAUGAUCUUGUUCUUAUCCAGGACUGCUAACGGUUAGGAUACAAGAAUUUUUAAGAACGAAUGACGAGCUUUCUUUUUUUUUUUUUUUUUUU